CGCUGAAGAGAGGAGCUUGCUCUUCUUGGAUGAGUUGCGAACGGGUGAGUAACGCGUAGGUAACCUGCCUUGUAGCGGGGGAUAACUAUUGGAAACGAUAGCUAAUACCGCAUAACAAUGGAUGACACAUGUCAUUUAUUUGAAAGGGGCAAUUGCUCCACUACAAGAUGGACCUGCGUUGUAUUAGCUAGUAGGUGAGGUAACGGCUCACCUAGGCGACGAUACAUAGCCGACCUGAGAGGGUGAUCGGCCACACUGGGACUGAGACACGGCCCAGACUCCUACGGGAGGCAGCAGUAGGGAAUCUUCGGCAAUGGGGGCAACCCUGACCGAGCAACGCCGCGUGAGUGAAGAAGGUUUUCGGAUCGUAAAGCUCUGUUGUAAGUCAAGAACGAGUGUGAGAGUGGAAAGUUCACACUGUGACGGUAGCUUACCAGAAAGGGACGGCUAACUACGUGCCAGCAGCCGCGGUAAUACGUAGGUCCCGAGCGUUGUCCGGAUUUAUUGGGCGUAAAGCGAGCGCAGGCGGUUUGAUAAGUCUGAAGUUAAAGGCUGUGGCUCAACCAUAGUUCGCUUUGGAAACUGUCAAACUUGAGUGCAGAAGGGGGAGAGUGGAAUUCCAUGUGUAGCGGUGAAAUGCGUAGAUAUAUGGAGGAACACCGGUGGCGAAAGCGGCUCUAUGGUCUGUAACUGACGCUGAGGCUCGAAAGCGUGGGGAGCGAACAGGAUUAGAUACCCUGGUAGUCCACGCCGUAAACGAUGAGUGCUAGGUGUUGGAUCCUUUCCGGGAUUCAGUGCCGCAGCUAACGCAUUAAGCACUCCGCCUGGGGAGUACGACCGCAAGGUUGAAACCUCAAAGGAAUUGACGGGGGCCCGCACAAGCGGUGGAGCAUGUGGUUUAAUUNGAAGCAACGCGAAGAACCUUACCAGGUCUUGACAUCCCGAUGCUAUUUCUAGAGAUAGAAAGUUACUUCGGUACAUCGGUGACAGGUGGUGCAUGGUUGUCGUCAGCUCGUGUCGUGAGAUGUUGGGUUAAGUCCCGCAACGAGCGCAACCCCUAUUGUUAGUUGCCAUCAUUCAGUUGGGCACUCUAGCGAGACUGCCGGUAAUAAACCGGAGGAAGGUGGGGAUGACGUCAAAUCAUCAUGCCCCUUAUGACCUGGGCUACACACGUGCUACAAUGGUUGGUACAACGAGUUGCGAGUCGGUGACGGCAAGCUAAUCUCUUAAAGCCAAUCUCAGUUCGGAUUGUAGGCUGCAACUCGCCUNCAUGAAGUCGGAAUCGCUAGUAAUCGCGGAUCAGCACGCCNCGGUGAAUACGUUCCCGGGCCUUGUACACACCGCCCGUCACACCACGAGAGUUNGUAACACCGCGAAGUC
rnacentral:rRNA from 1 species